AAAACCCAAAGGACUUGACGGUACCCCAUAUCCACCUAGAGGAGCCUGUCCUAUAAUCGAUAACCCCCGCUUUACCUCACCAUUUUUAGCCUAUCAGCCUGUAUACCUCCGUCGUCAGCUUACCACGUGAGCGUAAAUCAGUGAGCUCAAUGCCCAUACAUCAAUACGUCAAUACGUCAGGUCAAGGUGCAGCAUAUAAAAUGGAAAGAGAUGGGCUACACUAUCUAAUCUAGAUCAUACGAAAGACUAUUUAUGAAACCUAGUCAGAAGGCGGAUUUAGAAGUAAAGAAAGACUAAAGUGCUUUCUUUAACAUGGCACUGGGGUGUGUACACACCGCCCGUCACCCUCUUCGAAGCCCCAAGACAGUUUUUAACUCACUCAAGCAUUAAAGAAGAGGCAAGUCGUAACAUGGUAAGUAUACCGGAAGGUGUGCUUGGAAA
rnacentral:rRNA from 1 species